rnacentral:rRNA from 1 species
UUACGUUAGCGGCGGACGGGUGAGUAACACGUGGGUAACCUACCUAUAAGACUGGGAUAACUUCGGGAAACCGGAGCUAAUACCGGAUAAUAUUUCGAACCGCAUGGUUCGAUAGUGAAAGAUGGUUUUGCUAUCACUUAUAGAUGGACCCGCGCCGUAUUAGCUAGUUGGUAAGGUAACGGCUUACCAAGGCGACGAUACGUAGCCGACCUGAGAGGGUGAUCGGCCACACUGGAACUGAGACACGGUCCAGACUCCUACGGGAGGCAGCAGUG